rnacentral:rRNA from 1 species
UAUUGGACAAUGGGCGAAAGCCUGAUCCAGCAAUGCCGCGUGAGUGAUGAAGGCCUUAGGGUUGUAAAGCUCUUUUACCCGGGAUGAUAAUGACAGUACCGGGAGAAUAAGCUCCGGCUAACUCCGUGCCAGCAGCCGCGGUAAUACGGAGGGAGCUAGCGUUGUUCGGAAUUACUGGGCGUAAAGCGCACGUAGGCGGCUUUGUAAGUUAGAGGUGAAAGCCUGGAGCUCAACUCCGGAAUUGCCUUUGAUACUGCAUCGCUUGAAUCCAGGAGAGGUGAGUGGAAUUCCGAGUGUAGAGGUGAAAUUCGUAGAUAUUCGGAAGAACACCAGUGGCGAAGGCGGUUCACUGGACUGGUAUUGACGCUGAGGUGCGAAA